UUCGCAAUGCCCGAAAGGGUGACGAAGCGACGCCGCGUGCGGGAGGAAGGCCUUCGGGUUGUAAACCGCUGUCGGGAGUUAAGAAAUGCAAGGAUGUUAAUAGCGUUCCUGCUUGACUAAGGCUCCGGAGGAAGCCACGGCUAACUCUGUGCCAGCAGCCGCGGUAAUACAGAGGCGGCAAGCGUUGUUCGGAAUUAUUGGGCGUAAAGAGCACGUAGGCGGCUGUGUAAGUCGGUUGUGAAAGCCUUCCGCUCAACGGAAGGACGGCAUCCGAUACUGCAUGGCUUGAGUGUGGGAGGGGAGAGUGGAACUUCUGGUGGAGCGGUGAAAUGCGUAGAUAUCAGAAGGAACACCGGCGGCGAAGGCGACUCUCUGGUCCAUAACUGACGCUGAGUGUGCGAAAGCUAGGGGAGCAAACGGGAUUAGAUACCCCGGUAGUCCUAGCCGUAAACGAUGGGCACUAAGUAGAGGGGUUUUA
rnacentral:rRNA from 1 species